AGCAAUAUGGCGCAGUGGUAGCGCGCGGGGCUCAUAGGUCACGUGCACACGUCGCAACAGCUGCGGCGUGUGUACGUGGCCGGUAACCCUGAGGUCACUCGAUCGAGACGAGUUGUUGCUA